rnacentral:rRNA from 1 species
CAGCACCUCAAGUGGUCAGGAUGAUUAUUGGGCCUAAAGCAUCCGUAGCCUGCUUUGUUAGUUUUCGGUUAAAUCCAUACGCUCAACGUAUGGGCUGCCGGGAAUACUGCAGAGCUAGGGAGUGGGAGAGGCAGACGGUACUCGGUAGGAAGGGGUAAAAUCCUUUGAUCUAUUGAUGACCACCUGUGGCGAAGGCGGUCUACCAGAACACGUCCGACGGUGAGGGAUGAAAGCUGGGGGAGCAAACCGGAUUAGAUACCCGAGUAGUCC